rnacentral:tRNA from 1 species
GGAAGCGUUAGGGGGCUGGUGCCCCUCCCGGGCUUCAAACCCGGUGCACCCCAAAUUAAAGGGGUGGGUGGGUUCAAUUCCCACACGCUUCCGCCA